ensembl:lncRNA
GCAAAAUAUAUCAAUGUUGUCAUAUAUUCUGAUCUAACAUUGUUUAUCUAUAUAGAUAAUCUAGGUGUUUACUUGAGCAAAGACAAGGGAGACCCGUUUAAGAUUUGGGUUUAUGACUGUCUGUCUGGAACAGAAACCAUAAAAAAUGUGAAUGAUCUGGCUAAAAUACUCAAUGAUACCAGAACUGACAACACUGUUGAAGUCAGUAAAACCCCCAAAGAGGCAAUUGUGGUGCUCUUUGAUUCAAGUUCUUCAAUGAUGGAAGAAUGUUAUGACACUGCCAGUCAGAUGAUGCGAAUUGAUGCCGUCAAGCAAAUCUUUGACAGCUUUUCAAACCGAAGUAUGGCAUAUGAUUUUCAGCACGUCAUCUGCCUUGUGAUGUUUAACGACAAAGUUAAAACUCUUCUUAAAUUCACAGAAAAUUUGGAAACCUUCAAGGUAUAUUUCUCCUGAUUAUUAAACAAUCUUAAACCUUAUUACACUCUCAAUUAAAGAAAAAAACAUUUAUGAUUAAUGCGAAUUGUAUAAUUUUUGAAUCCGUGUAUUGCGUUUGUUUUUUUACAUGUAGGAGCAAGUGCAUGCUAUUGAAGCAUCUGGGUACACUAGGUUAUAUGAUGCACUUGUUCGUGGGAUCUCAGAGCUUGAAAAUAUCAAGAAAAGUUUUCCAGCUUGCAGAUGUCGCAUCUUGUGUUUGACAGAUGGCAACGAUUUCAGGUGUGUGUCUGUGUAUCUGUUCCUAUACUGCUUGAAUUGAUGGUCUUAAAAUGUUACUACACCAGCAAAAAUGAUUAUGGAUAACAUGUUUUGUCUAAUCUACAGUUCCAUGAGUAAUCCAGUCACCAUUGCCAGAAAAUUGAUGGCCAGCAAUAUUGUGGUCGAUGCAGUUAUUGUUGGCAAGGCAGAUAACACUGUUUUGCACGGAAUCAGUUAUGUAACAGGUUUGUGUGUGUAUAUUAACAUUUUUCUCUUCUACUAAUUUUUAACACACAAAAUUAACUCCAAAUACUGUUUCUUAUUUGAAUUAUUGUAUGUUUUUUAUAUAUAUGUGACUGUAUUAGUACACCGUUCUCAGAACAGCACUCUUGCUAUGGUCUGGAAUCUACUAAAUCAACAAUCAAGACACUAUAAUGCACA